GGGGUUGUGGCUUAGUGGUAGAGCACUUGUCUCACACACAUGAGACCCUGGGUUUGAUCCUUAGCACCA
rnacentral:tRNA from 1 species